GUGGGUUUAGCUCAGUGGAAGAGCAUGUGUUUAGCAUGCACGAGGUCCUAGGUUCAAUCCCCAGUACCUCCA
rnacentral:tRNA from 1 species